GUCUAAGUCAGGGCCCAGAGUUGAAGCAGGUCGUCCAGGUGGACUCUGGGAAGGAUGCAGUCCUAGAGUGCUCUGUGAACAUCAGUGAGAAAUCCACUGGUUGCAGCUGAACCCAAAAUAUCAGCUUCCCAUGCCACCUGCCAAUGAGAAAGACAAAGUUGUGUCCCUGUUGGUCAAAGAAACCCAGCCUGAAGACGAGGGUCCGUAUGAGUGUGUGGUGAACACUGACAGUGGAAUCACACAUUGUAACUUCAUGCUGAAGGUCACAGUGUUACAGUACGAGCCCAGCACUGAAAAGGAGAUUCCAAAGAACAGUUACAUGAGUGUGGCUGCUGUAUGUGUGGUAGUAGGCUCUCUUGCCAUUGGACUGCUGCUUCUCAAGCUGUUUCAAGCCAGAAGACUCAGACAAGAUCACAGGAGCAGGGACACAUCCCAUCAAAGCUCGCAGGGACACAUCCCAUCAGAGCUCGCAGGGACCCAUCCUGUCAGAGCUCACAGGGACCCAUCCCAUCAGAGCUCAUAGGAGCAGGAACACGUCCCAUCAGAGCUCACAGGAGCAGGAACACUUCCCGUCAGAGCUCACAGGAGCAGGAACACGUCCCAUCAGAGCUCACAGGAGCAGGAACACGUCCCGUCAGAGCUCACAGGAGCAGGAACACGUCCCAUCAGAGCUCACAGGAGCAGGAACACAUCCCGUCAGAGCUCACAGGAGCAGGAACACGUCCCAUCAGAGCUCAUAGGAGCAGGAACACAUCCCGUCAGAGCUCACAGGAGCAGGAACACGUCCCAUCAGAGCUCACAGGAGCAGGAACACUUCCCAUCAGAGCUCACAGGAGCAGGAACACGUCCCAUCAGAGCUCACAGGAGCAGGAACACGUCCCAUCAGAGCUCACAGGAGCAGGGACAUGUCCCGUCAGUCAUGAAGCAUCUCACAAGGUAAGGUUUGUCCUUAUGAAAUUGGAGUUGGGUGAGAAAGAAUCCUAA
rnacentral:lncRNA from 1 species